rnacentral:lncRNA from 1 species
CGGUUUCUAACUAACUUUUCUCAUGCGAUUUAUGUAAAUAAUAUCAAACAAUGAUACUUUAGUGAUUGUAAUAUUUUUUUUAUCACUUUGAGACAAUUGAAGGAUUUUCUCGAAGGGUUGCUGAUAUGGACGGGCCUACUGCACAAAGAAGUAUUGCUGAGAUUAGGUCUUCAAUUCCUGCAAGUAGACCCAAACAUGUGACAAAGCCUCCUGAACAUCAUGCACAUUAUGUUAAAUAAAUUAUAAAUAAAUGUAGUAGUUAAUUAUUACAGUUACAUGUUUUCGAUUAGGAGGUUAUGAGGAAACUGUCCUCUGAUCCUUAAUUUUAAGGAAAUAGUUAUUUGUAUUGGUUAUAUAAUACUGCUGUGGUGAAAUAAAGGGAUAAACUAUUAUUCAUAAAUUUCUAUUCUUCCUUUUAUUUCUUAGGAGACUUGUUCCUUCUCAAAUUGGAAUAAACAUCACAGACACACACCUAUCUUCUUAUCAAUUGCAUAUCUGUCUUUUACUUAUUAUAUACAUAGUGGAUGGUAUACUUCUUUUUAUUAAAAACAGUUAGCACAACUAUUUACUAAAGCUCCAUCUAUGUGUAUGAGCACAACCAAUAAGAUUUGACUAGUCAAUAAAAUAAUUUAUAAAUAUAGCGAAACUUAUUCUUAAAUUAUGAUAUGUUGUGGCUAUGCUAGUGUGUCAAUACAGGUUUUACAAAAUUUCAAAACAAAAAAAUUAAAAUCAAAACAAAAAAAUUAAAAUCAUUGAUUUUUUUAACGUUUUCAAAUUUGUAUAAAACCAUUCAAAAGAUAACUAAAAAAUUAUGGUAUGUUUCAUAGUGACAAGUUCCUUCGUAUACCAAUCGUGUAUCAUAUUCAUCUUAAAGUAAAUCUUAUAAUAAUAUAAGGAAUGCUGAAUUUUAUAAUUACUAAAUUUAAAUUACAUAAAUUGAAUCCAAUUAUUAAUUAGACAAAAAACAUUAACACAACAUUAGAGAGGACAAAAACUAGGUUGGAAACAACCUCAACACAUCACAUUUGAAGAUACCCAAUCAUAGUUUGAUAAAUCAUAGAAAUUGUGGGUCUCACUUCACCAAUUCAUUAAAUACGAGAUGAGGAGAUAGGAAAAAGAAACACAACAAGGAGAGAGAAAGAGAGAAAAACCUAAAUUAGGGGAGUGAGACCUAUAAUUUCUAUAAUUUGUAAAACUAUGAUUGAGUCUCUCCAAAUAUGGCGUAUUGAGGUUAUCUCCAACCAAAUUUUUCUCGAAGGGAUAUGAUAGAAACCUCCUUGAAGGGGGUUUGUAUUUGUUUGUUGAUCGUCUUGUUGGAAAGUCUUUUUGUAUUUGUGAUUGGUUUUUGUAUGAGUAUGAAUUCAGUUGUGUGUAUGUAAGGAGUAGAAUGGAAUGAAUUUUGUGCAUAUGAAGUAUGGUGAGAGAGUGAUAAGUGCAAAAAAUAUAUAAUUUUCAUAAACAUUUUAGGACACUUAUCUUAUGCAAAAAUAUGAAAACCAACUUAAUUCAAUACUUUUUAGAUAAAUUUUGUAUGUUUGAAUAAAAUAAUUUUUGAUUACCUCUUGUCCAAGUUUUCUUUGAAUUUUGUAGAAAAAUGGACCAAAAAGAAUUAAUUCAAAGAUAGCGAAGAAUACAAGAGAAAAGCACAAAAAGAAUUGCUCAAAACAAAUAACCUAAGCAUGACUUGCUUUGUGCUUAUCUUGUAACAAAAAAGAUUGCUUUAGCUUGAAGAAAGAUACCUUACCUUACCUUGAAGAAAUCCAAGCUAGGUGUACCAUGCAAAAUGAAUAACUUAAAAGCUUACCUUGCCUUGAAGAAAUCAUGCUAAAAGUGCCAAGUAACCAACCAAAAUUAAUUCAAGAACUAUGGGAAAAAGGCUGCUUUGGCUUGAAGAAAGGUAGGUUCCUUCACCAUGAGGAAACCUGUCCAACAGCUAGGCGUGGACAUAGAGAGCUAAGUUCCCAACCAGCCACCAAAACCAACCAUGAAGAAAUCUAGGCCAACUCGUCAAGCAACUUGCCAGCUCUUUACUCGAAGACCAAACACAUGACCUUAUGCAUGACCUAAGCUCUGACCAACCAAGUAGGAUGUGUCACUUUGCAUGGAGCCUAGCCCACAAUAGGCUGGCCACUAGGGGUGGCAAGCUGCUGACCCACUAGCUUUGGAAGUACCAAACCGCCCUGGUCUAGUGCUGGACGCCCAAGCAGGCAGCUGGGCAGCCAAUAGAGGUCUAUAAAUAUGUCUCACUUCUCAAACACUAAC